UACGUAGGAGGCAAGCGUUGUCCGGAAUUACUGGGUGUAAAGCGCGUGUAGGCGGCUAUGCAAGUCGGGCGUGAAAUCCCACGGCUCAACCGUGGAAGUGCACUCGAAACUGCGUAGCUAGAGUCCCGGAGAGGAAGGUGGAAUACUUGGUGUAGAGGUGAAAUUCGUAGAUAUCAAGUGGAACACCGGUGGCGAAGGCGGCCUUCUGGACGGUGACUGACGCUGAGACGCGAAAGCGUGGGGAGCAAACAGG
rnacentral:rRNA from 1 species